rnacentral:rRNA from 1 species
UACGGCGGGGGCUAGCGUUGUUCGGAAUUACUGGGCGUAAAGCGCACGUAGGCGGCUUUGUAAGUUAGAGGUGAAAGCCCGGGGCUCAACUCCGGAAUUGCCUUUAAGACUGCAUCGCUAGAAUUGUGGAGAGGUAAGUGGAAUUCCGAGUGUAGAGGUGAAAUUCGUAGAUAUUCGGAAGAACACCAGUGGCGAAGGCGACUUACUGGACACAUAUUGACGCUGAGGUGCGAAAGCGUGGGGAGCAAACAGG